GAUGAACGCUAGCUACAGGCUUAACACAUGCAAGUCGCAGGGUAACAUGAGGAAAGCUUGCUUUCCUUGAUGACGACUGGCGCACGGGUGAGUAACGCGUAUCCAACCUUCCCAUAACUACGGGAUAACCCGUUGAAAGACGGCCUAAUACCGUAUGACAUCGUUUGCUGACAUCAAAUAACGAUUAAAGGUUUAGCGGUUAUGGAUGGGGAUGCGUCUGAUUAGCUUGUUGGCGGGGUAACGGCCCACCAAGGCGACGAUCAGUAGGGGUUCUGAGAGGAAGGUCCCCCACAUUGGAACUGAGCCACGGUCCAAACUCCUACGGGAGGCAGCAGUGAGGAAUAUUGGUCAAUGGGCGAGAGCCUGAACCAGCCAAGUAGCGUGCAGGAUGACGGCCCUAUGGGUUGUAAACUGCUUUUAGGUGGGGAUAAAGUGCGUGACGUGUCAUGCAUUGCAGGUACCACAUGAAUAAGGACCGGCUAAUUCCGUG
rnacentral:rRNA from 1 species